AAAGAAACCAACCGGGAUUGCCUUAGUAACGGCGAGUGAAGCGGCAAAAGCUCAAAUUUGAAAUCUGGUACCUUCGGUGCCCGAGUUGUAAUUUGGAGAGGGCAACUUUGGGGCCGUUCCUUGUCUAUGUUCCUUGGAACAGGACGUCAUAGAGGGUGAGAAUCCCGUGUGGCGAGGAGUGCGGUUCUUUGUAAAGUGCCUUCGAAGAGUCGAGUUGUUUGGGAAUGCAGCUCUAAGUGGGUGGUAAAUUCCAUCUAAAGCUAAAUAUUGGCGAGAGACCGAUAGCGAACAAGUACAGUGAUGGAAAGAUGAAAAGAACUUUGAAAAGAGAGUGAAAAAGUACGUGAAAUUGUUGAAAGGGAAGGGCAUUUGAUCAGACAUGGUGUUUUGUGCCCUCUGCUCCUUGUGGGUAGGGGAAUCUCGCAUUUCACUGGGCCAGCAUCAGUUUUGGUGGCAGGAUAAAUCCAUAGGAAUGUAGCUUGCCUCGGUAAGUAUUAUAGCCUGUGGGAAUACUGCCAGCUGGGACUGAGGACUGCGACGUAAGUCAAGGAUGCUGGCAUAAUGGUUAUAUGCCG
rnacentral:rRNA from 1 species